rnacentral:misc_RNA from 1 species
AACGCAUAUUGCGCCCUGUGGUAUUCCGCGGGGCAUGCCUGUUCGAGCGUCAUUAUAACCCAUCAAGCCUGGCUUGGUAUUGGGGCACGCGCACCCGCGGCCCCCAAAGGCAGCAGCGGCCUAAGCGGACCCUAAGCGUAGUACAUCUCCUCGCUUCUGGGCCCCGUGGUGGCCGGCUCACCCCCCACUUCUCAGGUUGACCUCGGAUCAGGUAGGGAUACCCGCUGAACUUAA